rnacentral:rRNA from 1 species
GGGGGAUGGCGGACGGCUACACAUGCAGUCGAGCGGAUGAGUGGAGCUUGCUCCAUGAUUCAGCGGCGGACGGGUGAGUAAUGCCUAGGAAUCUGCCUGGUAGUGGGGGACAACGUUUCGAAAGGAACGCUAAUACCGCAUACGUCCUACGGGAGAAAGUGGGGGAUCUUCGGACCUCACGCUAUCAGAUGAGCCUAGGUCGGAUUAGCUAGUUGGUGAGGUAAAGGCUCACCAAGGCGACGAUCCGUAACUGGUCUGAGAGGAUGAUCAGUCACACUGGAACUGAGACACGGUCCAGACUCCUACGGGAGGCAGCAGUGGGGAAUAUUGGACAAUGGGCGAAAGCCUGAUCCAGCCAUGCCGCGUGUGUGAAGAAGGUCUUCGGAUUGUAAAGCACUUUAAGUUGGGAGGAAGGGCAGUAAGUUAAUACCUUGCUGUUUUGACGUUACCGACAGAAUAAGCACCGGCUAACUUCGUGCCAGCAGCCGCGGUAAUACGAAGGGUGCAAGCGUUAAUCGGAAUUACUGGGCGUAAAGCGCGCGUAGGUGGUUCGUUAAGUUGGAUGUGAAAGCCCCGGGCUCAACCUGGGAACUGCAUCCAAAACUGGCGAGCUAGAGUAUGGCAGAGGGUGGUGGAAUUUCCUGUGUAGCGGUGAAAUGCGUAGAUAUAGGAAGGAACACCAGUGGCGAAGGCGACCACCGUCCUAAUCUAUGGGACCAUCAUGUGCGGCAUUUGCUACAGCUGAUCGGCAACCCUAGGAACUCUAGAAUCACCGCGUCGAUUGCGUAAUUCAGCUGGCGGACCCCUCAUGCCGGCGUUCCAAUUUUGAGUUUACUUAACUGCCCCCGGGCGUGUUCGCCACCUCGUACACCAAAUUAAGCUUCGUUGCGCUUCUUGGAAUGGUCCGGAACUGUACGUCUCUUGAAAGGUCUCUACCUAACCACGGAAGCCCUCGAGACUGUGUCCACGACGUACCGACAGCAGUCGAGCACAGCACUCUACAACCCAAUUCAGGGCAUUGCUCGCGUUGGGAACAGGAAUCAAUGGUCGUGCAAUUCCACCCGUGAGAUUCCUCUGACGGCCACUGUUUGGCCUCCUUCCACCCCUACUGCAGUUCAGUAGUACCGGGAAUGCCGGACCCGAUGUGUGCACGAUGUUACCAGCCAUGUUUCCCAACGGUUCGGCGCUCCACCUCGAUUAGGGUAUUUUGGCUAGCAUCAGGCCUAGCGUCAGACGUUGAGCUGACGCACUUCAGCCUUAGCGAUCAUUAGCACUUAGUCUUACAGUGCCACUUAUGCAAGGGCCCGGAUCUGGGCUAAUACUGACACUGAGGUGCGAAAGCGUGGGGAGCAAA